GACGAACGCUGGCGGCGUGCUUAACACAUGCAAGUCGAACGGAAAGGCCCAGCUUGCUGGGUACUCGAGUGGCGAACGGGUGAGUAACACGUGGGUGAUCUGCCCUUGACUCUGGGAUAAGCCUGGGAAACUGGGUCUAAUACCGGAUAUGACCUUACAUCGCAUGGUGUUUGGUGGAAAGCUUUUGCGGUUCAGGAUGGGCCCGCGGCCUAUCAGCUUGUUGGUGGGGUAAUGGCCUACCAAGGCGACGACGGGUAGCCGACCUGAGAGGGUGAUCGGCCACACUGGGACUGAGACACGGCCCAGACGCCUACGGGAGGCAGCAGUGGGGAAUAUUGCACAAUGGGCGCAAGCCUGAUGCAGCGACGCCGCGUGAGGGAUGACGGCCUUCGGGUUGUAAACCUCUUUCACCAGGGACGAAGCGUGAGUGACGGUACCUGGAGAAGAAGCACCGGCCAACUACGUG
rnacentral:rRNA from 1 species